CCCAACCCAACUCCCAAACUCGCCUUAGUCAAAAAUUAGAUUGAAGUCGUGUAAUCAUAAACAAAAACCCAGACACUCCUCUCUCUCAACCGUGAACCCUAUCCCCAAAUCGUUCCCUUGAAAGCGAUAUUGCAGAGACCCCUACCCCCUAAAUCCAAACUCCAUCAUAAUCAAAGGCAAACCGUGACCACAAAGCUUGGAUUUGCGAAGAUUGACUGUUCAAACGUUGACAUGGAUUGAAGAAAUUGGGGUAAUUCCAUUUUUUUCUCUAACUACGAUGCUAUCAAUCAUUUGGAAUGAAAUUUCAUUCUCUAGAUGACCUUUUAGUGAUAUAGAUACUUGAUGAUGUUAAUUUAUAGCGUUAAACGUGUUUUGUAAUUUUCGUUUAAUGGAUUAUUGAUGAAACGCACGGAAAGCUGACAGGUUGUGCUAUUCUUUGUUCAAAUGUAUGUUAGGAAUCAAGUGCACUGAGGAGAAAUUCUUUAUUCCAAGUGACUGACUGUGGUUUAUUUUAGACCCUUUAGAUGUAAUAUUGUUUGUCUUCUGGCGAUGAAAAAUUAUUUAUGUGGCAACUGAUAUUAUUCACCAGAUAUAAAUAGCAUAGUAUCUAAUAGCUUCAGUGACUUCAUAAUAAAAGUGUCGUGCUUCUAAUUUUCGUAGGUUUAUAUGUGUGUCGUCUCAAAUGUUUCUUCAUAUUAUGACUGUUGGACCUGUGUUUUUAAGUGCAUCUAUUCUGAGCAUAUAUUGAUUUAAUGUUUGGUGGAUAAAUCAGAUUUAUUACAUUCAGAAUAACAGAUAUAAGUGGCAUUGUAGAAGUAUCUUGGACAUCUAGCUUUGUAGAAAUACCUCUUUGAAUUAGUAACUGUAUUUAUCAAAAUUGUCCACAUUUUAACUCUUUGGUGAAUUAUUUUCUACAUAACACGAAUGUUGACAUUCUUCUGUAUCUUUUUGUUGUGUAGGAAAGAAAAAGGGAAUUUCUCACUGUUAUAGAUAGUCGGGACACCAACUGUGGGACUGCCAAAAAAAGUAGUGAUGUCGAAAUUGUGCUUCAAGCUUUCUGAAAUGGAUGGAAGUAGAAAAGAAGACCGAAAACAUAGGUCUGUUAUUCAUUUGGAUCAAUAUGUAAAUGUUUGGGGAAAUACAAUCCUACACCUCUAAUUGCCGAUCUGUCGACUAUAUUCAAACAUUUUGCUGAAAUCCAUAUGCAAGGGAAAAGGAGCUAUGGAAGAGAACAGGAAAAAAAUUGAAGGGAUUUUUUAAUGUAGUCUGUCUAUGUACUUGGUGAGAAUUAGUUUUUUAUUUCAUGUCCAUAACCACGUACGUUGAUUCGGUUCGGCUCAAUUAAUAAGCACGAAAACAAAUUAAUUUUUGUAGGCUCGACCAUCAAAUUGAAAUAAAAAAAUUUAUGAAAAGUAGUUGGAUUUAUCUCGAUGGCUCGGUUAAUAACCACGAAAACAAUUUUUGACAACGACAAAGUUACAUAAAUCAAGAAUCUUGCACAAUAUUAAUCUGUCCAGCACUUAAUCUGGAAGACUUCAUUAUCUGGUACUGAAUUUACAUAAUAGUUCAAAUCUGUCCAGCNACCGAAAACAUAGGUCUGUUAUUCAUUUGGGUCAAUAUGUAAAUGUUGGGGGAAAUACAAUCCUACACCUCUAAUUGCCGAUCUGUCGACUGUGUUCAAACAUUUUGCUGAAAUCCAUAUGCAAGGGAAAGGGAGCUAUGGAAGAGAACGGGAAAAAAAUUGAAGGGAUUUUUUAAUGUAGUCUGUCUAUGUACUUGGUGAGAAUUAGUUUUUUAUUUCAUGUCCAUAACCACGUACGUUGAUUCAGUUCGGCUCAAUUAAUAAGCACGAAAACAAAUUAUUUUUUAUAGGCUCGAU
rnacentral:lncRNA from 1 species